UACGUAGGGUGCGAGCGUUGUCCGGAAUUACUGGGCGUAAAGAGCUCGUAGGUGGUUUGUCGCGUUGUUCGUGAAAACCGGGGGCUUAACCCUCGGCGUGCGGGCGAUACGGGCAGACUUGAGUACUGCAGGGGAGACUGAAUUCCUGGUGUAGCGGUGGAAUGCGCAGAUAUCAGGAGGAACACCGGUGGCGAAGGCGGGUCUCUGGGCAGUAACUGACGCUGAGGAGCGAAAGCGUGGGGAGCGAACAGG
rnacentral:rRNA from 1 species